rnacentral:rRNA from 1 species
UGGGGAAUUUUGGACAAUGGGCGCAAGCCUGAUCCAGCAAUGCCGCGUGCAGGAUGAAGGCCUUCGGGUUGUAAACUGCUUUUGUACGGAACGAAAAGCUUCGGGCUAAUACCCUGGAGUCAUGACGGUACCGUAAGAAUAAGCACCGGCUAACUACGUG